rnacentral:rRNA from 1 species
CCCGCAUGGGGAUAUUUGCUAAAGAUUCAUCGCUGAUAGAUAGGCAUGCGUUCCAUUAGGCAGUUGGCGGGGUAACGGCCCACCAAACCGACGAUGGAUAGGGGUUCUGAGAGGAAGGUCCCCCACAUUGGUACUGAGACACGGACCAAACUCCUACGGGAGGCAGCAGUGAGGAAUAUUGGUCAAUGGGCGUAAGCCUGAACCAGCCAAGUCGCGUGAGGGAUGAAGGUUCUAUGGAUCGUAAACCUCUUUUAUAAGGGAAUAAAGUGCGGGACGUGUCCCGUUUUGUAUGUACCUUAUGAAUAAGGAUCGGCUAACUCCGUGCCAGCAGCCGCGGUAAUACGGAGGAUCCGAGCGUUAUCCGGAUUUAUUGGGUUUAAAGGGUGCGUAGGCGGCCUUUUAAGUCAGCGGUGAAAGUCUGUGGCUCAACCAUAGAAUUGCCGUUGAAACUGGGGGGCUUGAGUAUGUUUGAGGCAGGCGGAAUGCGUGGUGUAGCGGUGAAAUGCAUAGAUAUCACGCAGAACCCCGAUUGCGAAGGCAGCCUGCCAAGCCAUUACUGACGCUGAUGCACGAAAGCGUGGGGAUCAAACAGGAUUAGAUACCCUGGUAGUCCACGCAGUAAAC